rnacentral:rRNA from 1 species
ACUCUCCUACGGGGCGCAGCAGUGAGGAAUAUUGGUCAAUGGGCGAGAGCCUGAACCAGCCAAGUCGCGUGAGGGAGUACUGCCCUGUGGGUUGUAAACCUCUUUUGUCGGGGAGCAAAAGCCGGACGUGUCCGUCUGUGAGAGUACCCGAAGAAAUAGCAUCGGCUAACUCCGUGCCAGCAGCCGCGGUAAUACGGAGGAUGCGAGCGUUAUCCGGAUUUAUUGGGUUUAAAGGGUGCGCAGGCGGAUUUUUAAGUCAACGGUCAAAUCGUGGGGCUCAACCCCAUCCAGCCGUUGAAACUGGG